rnacentral:sRNA from 1 species
AAUGUAGGCAAGGGAAGUCGG